rnacentral:rRNA from 1 species
GGGUGCGAUCAUACCAACACUAAUGCACCGGAUGCCAUCAGAACUCCGAAGUUAAGCGUGCUUGGACGAGAGUAGUACUACGAUGGGUGACCUCCUGGGAAGUCCUCGUGUUGCACCCC